rnacentral:rRNA from 1 species
CGGAGGAUCCAAGCGUUAUCCGGAAUCAUUGGGUUUAAAGGGUCCGUAGGCGGUUUUGUAAGUCAGUGGUGAAAGCCCAUCGCUCAACGGUGGAACGGCCAUUGAUACUGCAAGACUUGAAUUACUAGGAAGUAACUAGAAUAUGUAGUGUAGCGGUGAAAUGCUUAGAUAUUACAUGGAAUACCAAUUGCGAAGGCAGGUUACUACUAGUGGAUUGACGCUGAUGGACGAAAGCGUGGGGAGCGAACAGG